GAAGUAGGGGCAUUUUAAUCGAUAUUAGAACGAUAAAGAGAGGUGCAGUGUGAACGCACAAAGAAACAAUUGAUGGGAGGGGGAGGGAAGGAGAAGGAGUGUAUGUAUUUUCAGCACGAAAUGAAACAGGUGCGAUCAUACCAGCACUAAUGCAACGGAUUCUAUCAGAACUCCGUAGGUAAGGGUGCUUGGGCGAGAGAAGUACUAGCAUGGGUUACCUCCUGCGAAGUUCUUAUAUUUCACCCAUUUUCUUGUGAAGUCCUCGUGUUGCACCGAUUUUUUUGCAGAUGAUUCUUUCGACGUUACGCGCGACUUGAAUUAUGGUCCUCAGGUUUAUUCGCAAAUGUGAGUGACGGCGCUGUAGCAUUUUACUUGAUAUUAGAACGAGAACGGGAGGUGCAGUGCGCACACACAAGGAAACAAAGGAUGGGAGGGGGAAGAAAGGCGAAUGAGUUUAUGUAUUUGCAGCGCGAAAUUAAACAGGCGCGAUCAUACCAGCACUAAUGCACCGGAUCCCAUCAGAACUCCGCAGUGAAGUGUGCUUGGGCGAGAUUAGUACUCGGAUGGGUGACCUCCUGGGAAGUCCUCGUGUCGCACCAAUUUUUUUCAGACGGGUCGUUCAACGUUACGCGCGUCUGGAACUAGGGUCCACUGGUUUAUACGCAAAUGUGAGUCAAGAAGCAGGGGCAUUUUAAUCGAUAUUAGAACAAGAAUGAGAGGUGAAGUGUGAACGCACAAGGAAACAAAUGACGGGAGGGGAAAGAAAGGAGAAGGAGUGUAUGUAUUUGCAGCGCGAAUUUAAACAGGUGCGAUCAUACCUGCACUAAAGACCCGGAUCCCAUCAGAACUCCGCAGUUAAGUGUGCUUGGGCGAGAGUAGUACUCGGAUGGGUGACCACUUGGGAAGCCCUUGUGUUGCACCUAUUUUUUUUCGGAUGGGUUGUUCGACGUUGCGCGCAAAUGGAAUUAUAAACCGCUGGUUCAUUUGCAAAGGCGAGUCACGGCACCGUGGCAUUUUACUUGAUAUUUGAACGAGAACGAGAGGUGCAGUGCGCACGUAUAAGGAAACAAAUGACGGGAGGGGGGAUGGAAGGAGAAAGAGUGUAUGUAUUUGCAGUGCAGAAUGAAACAUGAGGGAUCAUACCAGUACUAAUGCAACGGAUUCUAUCAGAACUCCGCAGUUAAAGGUGCUUGGGCGAGAAAAGUAUUCGGAUGGGUGACCUCCUGCGAAGUCCUUAUAUUUCACCCAUUUGCUUGGGAGGUCCUCAUGUUUCACCCAUCUUUUUGCAAAUGAUUCUUUCGACUUUACGCGUGACUUGAUUUAUGGUCCGCAGGUUUAUUCGCAAAUGUGAGUCACGACGCCGUGGCAUUUUACUUGAUAUUAGAACGAGUACGGGAGGUGCAGUGCGCACGCACAAGGAAACAAAUGACGGGAGGAGGAAGAAAAGAAAAGGAGUGUAUGUAUUUGAAGCGCAAAAUUAAUCAAGUGGCAUCAUACCAGCACUAAUGCACUGGAUCCCAUCAGAACUCUGCAGUUAAGUGUACUUGGGCGAGAGUAGUACUCGGAUGGGUGACCUCUUGGGAAGUCCUCAUAUCGCAAUAAUUUUUUUUCCGUUGGGUCGUUCGACGUUACGCGCGACUGGAACUAUGGUCCGCUGGUUUAUACGCAAAUGUGAGUCAAGAAUCAGGGGCAUUUUAAUCGAUAUUAGAACGAGAAGGAGAGGUGCAGUGUGAAGGCACAAGGAAACAAAUGAUGGGAGGGGGGAGGGAAGGAGUGUAUGUAUUUUCAGCACGAAAUUAAACAUGUGCGGUCACACCAGCACAAAUGCACCGGAUCCCAUCAGAACUCUGCAGUUAAGUGUGCUUUGGCGAAAGUAGUACAAUGAUGGGUUACCCCCUAGGAAGUUCUCGUGUUGCACCCAUUUUCUUUUUUUUAGAUGUGCUGUUCGACGUUACGCGCGACUUUAAUUAUGGUCCGCAGUUUUUUUCGUAAUGUGAGUCACGGCGUCGUGGCGUUUUACUUGAUAUUUGAACGAGAACGAGAGGUGCAGUGCGCACGCACAAGAAAACAAAUGAUGGGAGGGGGAAGAAAGGGGAAUGAGUUUAU
rnacentral:lncRNA from 1 species